rnacentral:rRNA from 1 species
AACGAACGCUGGCGGCAUGCCUAACACAUGCAAGUCGAACGAGACCUUCGGGUCUAGUGGCGCACGGGUGCGUAACGCGUGGGAACCUGCCCUUAGGUUCGGAAUAACUCCCCGAAAGGGGUGCUAAUACCGGAUAAUGUCUUCGGACCAAAGAUUUAUCGCCUUUGGAUGGGCCCGCGUUGGAUUAGCUAGUUGGUAGGGUAAAAGCCUACCAAGGCGACGAUCCAUAGCUGGUCUGAGAGGAUGAUCAGCCACACUGGGACUGAGACACGGCCCAGACUCCUACGGGAGGCAGCAGUGGGGAAUAUUGGACAAGGGGCGAAAGCCUGAUCCAGCAAUGCCGCGGGAGUGAUGAAGGCCUUAGGGUUGUAAAGCUCUUUUACCCGGGAUGAUAAUGACAGUACCGGGAGAAGAAGCGCCGGCUAACUACGUG